rnacentral:rRNA from 1 species
AUUAGUUAGUUGGCGGGGUAACGCCCCACCAAGGAGACGAUCAGUAGCCGCCAUGAGAGGGCGGACGGCCACACUGGGAUUGAGACACGGCCCAGACUCUUACGGGAGGCAGCAGUGGGGAAUUGUUCGCAAUGGGCGCAAGCCUGACGACGCAACGCCGCGUGGAGGAGAAAGGCCUUCGGGUCGUAAACUCCUGUUGAUCGGGAAGAACGGGCUCUGGGUGAAUAGCCCCGAGCAGUGACGGUACAGAUUGAGGAAGCCACGGCUAACUCUGUGCCAGCAGCCGCGGUAAUACAGAGGUGGCAAGCGUUGUUCGGAAUUACUGGGCGUAAAGGGCGCGUAGGCGGCCUUGUCAGUCAGACGUGAAAUCCCCAGGCUUAACCUGGGAACUGCGUCUGAUACUACAGGGCUUGAGUUCGGGAGAGGGGUGUGGAAUUCCAGGUGUAGCGGUGAAAUGCGUAGAUAUCUGGAGGAACACCGGUGGCGAAGGCGGCAUCCUGGACCGAAACUGACGCUGAGGCGCGAAAGCCAGGGGAGCAAACGGGAUUAGAUACCCCGGUAGUCCUGGCCCU